UACAGAGGGGGCAAGCGUUGUUCUGAAUUACUGGGCGUAAAGGGCGCGUAGGCGGCCCGCUAAGUCGAACGUGAAAUCCCUGGGCUCAACCCAGGAACUGCGUCCGAUACUGGCAGGCUUGAAUCCGGGAGAGGGAUGCGGAAUUCCAGGUGUAGCGGUGAAAUGCGCAGAUAUCAGGAGGAACACCGGUGGCGAAGGCGGAUCUCUGGGCCUUACCUGACGCUGAGGCGCGAAAGCUAGGGGAGCGAACAGG
rnacentral:rRNA from 1 species